AAAACUUUCAACAACGGAUCUCUUGGCUCCAGCAUCGAUGAAGAACGCAGCGAAACGCGAUAUGUAAUGUGAAUUGCAGAAUUCAGUGAAUCAUCGAAUCUUUGAACGCACAUGGCGCCUUCCAGUAUCCUGGGAGGCAUGCCUGUCCGAGCGUCGUUU
rnacentral:rRNA from 4 species